rnacentral:rRNA from 1 species
UACGGAGGGGGGCUAGCGUUGUUCGGAAUUACUGGGCGUAAAGCGCACGUAGGCGGCUUUGUAAGUUAGAGGUGAAAGCCCAGGGCUCAACCCUGGAAUUGCCUUUAAGACUGCAUCGCUAGAAUUGUGGAGAGGUAAGUGGAAUUCCGAGUGUAGAGGUGAAAUUCGUAGAUAUUCGGAAGAACACCAGUGGCGAAGGCGACUUACUGGACACAUAUUGACGCUGAGGUGCGAAAGCGUGGGGAGCAAACAGG